rnacentral:lncRNA from 1 species
UGCUCCUACCCUUUUGUUUGUUUGCUUUCUUCUUUUUCUUUUUCUUUUUGAUAUAGGGUCUCGCUUUGUCACCCAGGCUGGAGUGCAAUGGUACAAUCAUAGCUCACUGAAAACUCAAACUCUGGGGCUCAAGCCAUCUUCCUGCCUCAGCCUCCCAAGUAACUAGGUCUAUAAGCACACACCACCACCCCUGGCUACCCAGCUAAUAUAUGUAUGUGUAUAGAUGGAUGUAUCUUUUUUUUUGUAAAUAUAUUUUGUCUGUUUGUGGAGACAGGCUUUUAUUGCCCAUGCUGGUCUCAAACUCCUGGCCUCAAGCAAUCCUCCUGCCUUGGCCUCCCAAACUGCUGGGAUUACAGGAAUGAACCAUCUUGCCCAGCUACGUUUUUCUUUUGCCCCUUCCUUCCUUCUUUGCUUUCCUUUUCCUUCCUUCCUUCCUUCCUCCCUCCCUCCCUCCCUCCCUUUUUUUCUUCCUUCCUUCUUUUUUUUUCCUUUGAGACAGGGUCUCUCUCUGUUGCCUAGGCUGGAGUGUGCAGUUGCACAAUCUCAGUUCACUGCAACCUCCUCCUCCCACGCACAACCAAUAUUCCCACCUCAGCCUUCCAAGUAGCUGGAACUACAGGUACAAGUCACCACGUCCAGCUAAUUUUUGUAUUUUUGUAGAGAUGGGGUUUGGCUAUUUUGCCCAAGCUGGUCUCAAACUGGGCUGGCGUGCAGUGGCACAAUCUCAGCUCACUGCAAGCUCUGCCUCCAGGAUUAAUGCCAUUCUCCUGCCUCAGCCUCCCGAGUAGCUGGGACUACAGGCGCCUGCCACCACGCCCGGCUAAUUUUUUUGUAUUUUUAGUAGAGACGGGGUUUCACCUCAUUAGCCACGAUGGUCUCGACCUCCUGACCUUGUGAUCCGCCCGUCUCGGCCUCCCAAAGUGCUGGGAUUACAGGCGUGAGCCACCGUGCCCGGCCGAGUCUAAAAUUUCUAUCUUCAGUCCUGACAUCUCCCCUGGUUUCAGAUGUCUAGUCCACAUCUCCCUUUGUAUGUUUAAUUAAAGUGGCUUUCACAUGUACAGAAAAGGACUUUUAACUAUCCUAGCCUUGUCCAUCUAAUUAAACCACUAUUUACCCUGUUGUUGAAGCCAUUUCAUAGUCUUUUGUUUCUGUACCUCUCCAUAUCCCUUCUCUCUCCAAAGACUAGCUUUUCUGCUGUGUAUUACUUUCCUAGUGCUGGUGGCCAGGGCUGGAUCCCAAUUCCAG